rnacentral:tRNA from 1 species
AGCCCCGUAGCUCAACUGGCUAGAGCAUCGGCCUUUGAAGUCGUGUGUUAUUGGUUCGAAUCCAAUCGGGGUUGCCA